GACGAACGCUGGCGGCGUGCCUAAUACAUGCAAGUAGAACGCUGAAGAGAGGAGCUUGCUCUUCUUGGAUGAGUUGCGAACGGGUGAGUAACGCGUAGGUAACCUGCCUUGUAGCGGGGGAUAACUAUUGGAAACGAUAGCUAAUACCGCAUAACAAUGGAUGACACAUGUCAUUUAUUUGAAAGGGGCAAUUGCUCCACUACAAGAUGGACCUGCGUUGUAUUAGCUAGUAGGUGAGGUAACGGCUCACCUAGGCGACGAUACAUAGCCGACCUGAGAGGGUGAUCGGCCACACUGGGACUGAGACACGGCCCAGACUCCUACAGGAGGCAGCAGUAGGGAAUCUUCGGCAAUGGGGGCAACCCUGACCGAGCAACGCCGCGUGAGUGAAGAAGGUUUUCGGAUCGUAAAGCUCUGUUGUAAGUCAAGAACGAGUGUGAGAGUGGAAAGUUUACACUGUGACGGUAGCUUACCAGAAAGGGACGGCUAACUACGUG
rnacentral:rRNA from 1 species